CCUGUGAGGCAUGCUGGAGGUAUCAGAAGUGCGAAUGCUGACAUAAGUAACGAUAAAGCGGGUGAAAAGCCCGCUCGCCGGAAGACCAAGGGUUCCUGUCCAACGUUAAUCGGGGCAGGGUGAGUCGACCCCUAAGGCGAGGCCGAAAGGCGUAGUCGAUGGGAAACGGGUUAAUAUUCCCGUACUUGGUGUUACUGCGAAGGGGGGACGGAGAAGGCUAUGUUGGCCGGGCGACGGUUGUCCCGGUUUAAGCGUGUAGGUGUGUGUUCCAGGUAAAUCCGGUUCACUUUAACACUGAGGCGUGACGACGAGGCACUACGGUGCUGAAGCAACAAAUGCCCUGCUUCCAGGAAAAGCCUCUAAGCAUCAGGUAACACGAAAUCGUACCCCAAACCGACACAGGUGGUCAGGUAGAGAAUACCAAGGCGCUUGAGAGAACUCGGGUGAAGGAACUAGGCAAAAUGGUGCCGUAACUUCGGGAGAAGGCACGCUGACACGUAGGUGAAGUGAUUUACUCAUGGAGCUGAAGUCAGUCGAAGAUACCAGCUGGCUGCAACUGUUUAUUAAAAACACAGCACUGUGCAAACACGAAAGUGGACGUAUACGGUGUGACGCCUGCCCGGUGCCGGAAGGUUAAUUGAUGGGGUCAGCGCAAGCGAAGCUCCUGAUCGAAGCCCCGGUAAACGGCGGCCGUAACUAUAACGGUCCUAAGGUAGCGAAAUUCCUUGUCGGGUAAGUUCCGACCUGCACGAAUGGCGUAAUGAUGGCCAGGCUGUCUCCACCCGAGACUCAGUGAAAUUGAACUCGCUGUGAAGAUGCAGUGUACCCGCGGCAAGACGGAAAGACCCCGUGAACCUUUACUAUAGCUUGACACUGAACAUUGAGCCUUGAUGUGUAGGAUAGGUGGGAGGCUUUGAAGUGUGGACGCCAGUCUGCAUGGAGCCGACCUUGAAAUACCACCCUUUAAUGUUUGAUGUUCUAACGUGGACCCGUAAUCCGGGUUGCGGACAGUGUCUGGUGGGUAGUUUGACUGGGGCGGUCUCCUCCUAAAGAGUAACGGAGGAGCACGAAGGUUGGCUAAUCCUGGUCGGACAUCAGGAGGUUAGUGCAAUGGCAUAAGCCAGCUUGACUGCGAGCGUGACGGCGCGAGCAGGUGCGAAAGCAGGUCAUAGUGAUCCGGUGGUUCUGAAUGGAAGGGCCAUCGCUCAACGGAUAAAAGGUACUCCGGGGAUAACAGGCUGAUACCGCCCAAGAGUUCAUAUCGACGGCGGUGUUUGGCACCUCGAUGUCGGCUCAUCACAUCCUGGGGCUGAAGUAGGUCCCAAGGGUAUGGCUGUUCGCCAUUUAAAGUGGUACGCGAGCUGGGUUUAGAACGUCGUGAGACAGUUCGGUCCCUAUCUGCCGUGGGCGCUGGAGAACUGAGGGGGGCUGCUCCUAGUACGAGAGGACCGGAGUGGACGCAUCACUGGUGUUCGGGUUGUCAUGCCAAUGGCACUGCCCGGUAGCUAAAUGCGGAAGAGAUAAGUGCUGAAAGCAUCUAAGCACGAAACUUGCCCCGAGAUGAGUUCUCCCUGAGACUUAGAGUCUCCUGAAGGAACGUUGAAGACGACGACGUUGAUAGGCCGGGUGUGUAAGCGCAGCGAUGCGUUGAGCUAACCGGUACUAAU
rnacentral:rRNA from 1 species